UAACAACCAUCUUUAAAGAUGCACACAAGAACAUAAUGCAAACUGUAUUACUACUGUAGCUUAAAUAACCUGAGCUAACAUGCACAGAAUUAAGUACACUUACAAGUUAAAGAAAUGCUGUAACCGCUUUGUAUAAUAGAUAAGAAGUAAACGACAGAAAUAUUUUAAAACAUGUAAGAUCCAUCCCAGAAGGUUACAUUCCUCAUUUGAAUGAGAAAUUUGAGCAUACACAAUAAAAGCAUAAAUGAAAGAAUGAACGAGGCUAGUUAAACAUUGUUAUCUUAGAAUGUUUGGCCAACCUGAGCUAGCUCUAUCCAAUGUCCAUAUCUAACUCCAGAAGGCAAAUUGACUAUGUUGCUUCUUUUAUAUGAUAUUCCCCAUGUUCCUAAUGAAUUGGACUUGCUGACUUGUGUUCGACUUGAGAUCCAUUCUCAGUCACUUGCACAAUGCAACAUAAGUUGAGGUCAGUAAAUAGAUCAAGCCAUCAAGGUGUGAAUAUCCUUUCAAUAGUAACCUGCUAAAGUCCCAGAAUUGUAUAGCGAGACAAUAAAUGUGGAAAAUAUUGAUAGAAUGAUAGAUGUAGAAAAGAAGACAGAGAAAAGAAGAGUCCAUGAUAUGUCUCCAUCGCCUACAUGGUUUCCGUUUCAACUGAUAUUGGAGCUGAUAUUUUCUCAUAUGGUUUUACCUGGUUAUUGCCUGUGCUCCAUGCACCAAUUACCUGGUUAUUUUCAUAAGACUUCCUUAGAAAGAGUCAGGAAUUUAGCCGGUGAGCUUUGGCAUCCUACUAGUGAAUGGAAGUUAAUACCUUUGGGAAAAGGUUUCUUUAUGCUUCGUCUUAGUUGCGAGAAGGACUUGGUUCACUAGAUAUGGACACCAGAUUUUGAUCCGGAUUUACAAAGAUCGUCAAAGUCACUAGCUUGGAUAAAAUUUCCCAAGCUUGGCCAACAAUAUAAUAUUGGGAUUAUGAAAUUUUUAUGUCUCUUGGGAAAGCAAUAGGCGAUCCUAUUGGAGUAGACAAGCAUACCAUUAACAGGGAUUUUGGGUAUUUUGCGAGUGUUCUUGUGGAGGUGGAUAUUAGCAAACCAAUCCCUAG
rnacentral:lncRNA from 1 species